GAUGAACGCUGGCGGCGUGCCUAAUACAUGCAAGUCGAGCGAACGGACGAGAAGCUUGCUUCUCUGAUGUUAGCGGCGGACGGGUGAGUAACACGUGGAUAACCUACCUAUAAGACUGGGAUAACUUCGGGAAACCGGAGCUAAUACCGGAUAAUAUUUUGAACCGCAUGGUUCAAAAGUGAAAGACGGUCUUGCUGUCACUUAUAGAUGGAUCCGCGCUGCAUUAGCUAGUUGGUAAGGUAACGGCUUACCAAGGCAACGAUGCAUAGCCGACCUGAGAGGGUGAUCGGCCACACUGGAACUUAGACACGGUCCAGACUCCUACGGGAGGCAGCAGUAGGGAAUCUUCCGCAAUGGGCGGAAGCCUGACGGAGCAACGCCGCGUGAGUGAUGAAGGUCUUCGGAUCGUAAAACUCUGUUAUUAGGGAAGAACAAAUGUGUAAGUAACUGUGCACAUCUUGACGGUACCUAAUCAGAAAGCCACGGCUAACUACGUG
rnacentral:rRNA from 1 species